UUGAUUUUGUCUGAAGGGACUGAGAAUAUUUGUCUUACCUUAGAAUAUUAGUGAUGCAUUCAUAGGAUUCUUAAAUUCCCCAGUCAUUGUUACCAAGUGCUUCAUGUCCAUAGGAUCAACAACAGGCGUGCCUUCAGGCUGCUUCUCUCUUUUGCUCUUCAUCUGAGCUGACCUGGUCCUAGGAGUCUGUCCUGACUCACACCUGGCACAUGGUGUUUAUGGUGGUUGAGUGGGUAUCAGUCCUUUUUCCCGGGGGGGUGGCUUGGACUUGACUUUGUAUAUCAGAUUUGGCCUUUACUUGCCUUUGAACUCCCAAUAUCUGACCUCCAGUUGGUUCCUGCUUCUUCCUUUAACACCCCAGUGACACAGUGGCUGGAAGGAGCCUGUGUUGUUGUCUGUCCCCGGCAUUCUCAUCCAAGACCAAUCUACUAUACAGAAGUCCUUCAGGAACAUCUGGAGACAGUUCUGAUUGUCAGAACUGGGGGUUUUGGUGGUACUGGCAUCAACUAGACAGAAGUUAGGGAUGCUACUUGGCAUUCUCUGGUGUGUACGAUGACCCCUCCAACAAAGAAUGACUCCACAACAACGUCGACAGUGUUGAUGUGGGGAAACACUGCUCUGGAUCUGUCAGGGAGGACGGUUCCCUCAACAGAGGAGUUGCUAAUCUCCAACAGCUUUUCUGAAGUGUUCAUCUCUCUAUGACCAGCUAUUCUCCUAAUAGGAGCACAGGCUUUCUCCUUCUGACACAUCAUGGUUCAUGCAAACCAAGCCAAAAUUCCUCAAGAAGCAGGUGUCUUCCCCAGAGAUGUGCAAGAGCCUCAGUGUCCAGCUUAGCCAGCCCCAGAACUCCUCAUGCUGAUACCAGCAAUUCUCAGAGAGCAAUCCUUUGUUCCAGCGCCUGGGACCUUUACAAACAGC
rnacentral:lncRNA from 1 species